rnacentral:rRNA from 1 species
GUUAAAAAGCUCGUAGUUGGAUUCCUGUUGAGAACAGCCGGUCCACCUCUUGGGUGAGUAUCUGGAUUGGUCUCGGCAUCCUCUCGAAACUCGUUGCUGCGCUUGAUUGCGUGGUGCGGUGUUCGGGACUUUUACUUUGAGGAAAUUAGAGUGUUCACGGCAGGCAUUCGCCUUGAAUAUAUUAGCAUGGAAUAAUACUAUAGGAUCUUGGUUCUAUUUUGUUGGUUUCUAGGGCUAAGAUAAUAAUCAAUAGGGAUAAUUGGGGGCAUUCGUAUUAACGCGUCAGAGGUGGAAUUCUUGGAUUGCGUUACGACGAACUACUGCGAAAGCAUUUGCCAAGGAUGUUUUCAUUGAUCAAGAACGAAAGUAUGGGGAUCGAAGACGCUUAGAUACCGUCGUAGUCUUUACCAUAAACUAUGCCAGCUAGAGAUUGGAGGUCGUAUUUUCUAUGACUCCUUCAGCACCUUAUGAGAAAUCAAAGUUUUUGGGUUCCGGGGAGAGUAUGGUCGCGAGGCUGAAACUUAAAGGAAUUGACGGAAGGGCACCACCAGGAGUGGAGCCUGCGGCUUAAUUUGACUCAACACGGGAAAACUCACCAGGUCCAGACAUAGUAAAGAUUGACAGAUUGAUAGCUCUUUCU